AAAUGGGGCCAAGGACAUGGCCAUCAUCAUGGAUGUGGAAAAAAAAAUUGCGGUCAAUCUGGUGGAUAUGGUGGACAACAUGGGGGUGCUCAACCUGGUGGGGGUGGUGACCAAUCCGGUGGAGAUAGUGGUCAACAAGGGGGUGCUCAACCGGGUGGAGGGGGUGAUCAAUCUGGUGGAGGCAGUGAUCAACAUGGUGGCGCUCAACCGGGUGGUGGAGAUCAACAAGGUGGAGAUGUGGGUCAAUCAGGUGGAGGUGGUGGUCAACACGGUGGAUAUGGUGGACAACAUGGGGGUGCUCAACCUGGUGGAGGUGGUGACCAAUUCGGUGGAGGCAGCGGUCAACAAGGAGGUGCUCAACAAGGUGGAGGGGGUGACCAAUCUGGUGGAGCCACUGAUCAACAUGGUGGCGCUCAACCAGGUGAUGGAGGUCAACAAGGUGGAUAUGGUGGACAAGGGGGUGCUCAACCAGGUGGAGGUGGUGGUCAACAAGGUGGAGGCAGUGGUCAACAAGGUGGAGAUGCGGGCCAAUCAAGUGGAGGUGGUGGUCAACAAGGUGGAUAUGGU
rnacentral:lncRNA from 1 species